rnacentral:misc_RNA from 1 species
AGCUUUGGGAAACUGGAGUUCUAGUGGCUACCGGGUGAGUAACACGUGGGUGACCUACCUCGAAGUGGGGAAUAACAGACCGAAAGGUUUGCUAAUACCGCAUGUGCUCGGCGGAUCAAGCUGUCGAGUAAAGUCGCAAGACGCUUUGAGAGGGGCCCGCGGCCCAUCAGGUAGUUGGCGAGGUAAAUGCUCACCAAGCCGAUGACGGGUAGCUGGUCUGAGAGGACGAUCAGCCACACUGGCACUGAGGGACGGGCCAGACUCCUACGGGAGGCAGC